rnacentral:rRNA from 1 species
GAUGAACGCUGGCGGCGUGCCUAAUACAUGCAAGUCGAACGAAACUUCUUUAUCACCGAGUGCUUGCACUCACCGAUAAAGAGUUGAGUGGCGAACGGGUGAGUAACACGUGGGCAACCUGCCCAAAAGAGGGGGAUAACACUUGGAAACAGGUGCUAAUACCGCAUAACCAUAGUUACCGCAUGGUAACUAUGUAAAACGUGGCUAUACUACCGCUUUUGGAUGGGCCCGCGGCGCAUUAGCUAGUUGGUAGGGUAAAGGCUUACCAAGGCAAUGAUGCGUAGCCGAAUUGAGAGGUUGAUCGGCCACAUUGGGACUGAGACACGGCCCAAACUCCUACGGGAGGCAGCAGUAGGGAAUCUUCCACAAUGGGCGAAAGCCUGAUGGAGCAACGCCGCGUGGGUGAAGAAGGUCUUCGGAUCGUAAAACCCUGUUGUUAGAGAAGAAAGUGCGUGAGAGUAACUGUUCACGUUUCGACGGUAUCUAACCAGAAAGCCACGGCUAACUACGUG